rnacentral:rRNA from 1 species
UCGCGGCCUAUCAGCUUGUUGGUGGGGUAAUGGCCUACCAAGGCGACGACGGGUAGCCGGCCUGAGAGGGUGAUCGGCCACACUGGGACUGAGACACGGCCCAGACUCCUACGGGAGGCAGCAGUGGGGAAUAUUGCACAAUGGGCGAAAGCCUGAUGCAGCGACGCCGCGUGGGGGAUGACGGUCUUCGGAUUGUAAACUCCUUUCAGUAGGGACGAAGCGAAAGUGACGGUACCUGCAGAAGAAGCACCGGCCAACUACGUGCCAGCAGCCGCGGUAAUACGUAGGGUGCAAGCGUUGUCCGGAAUUACUGGGCGUAAAGAGCUCGUAGGCGGUUUGUCACGUCGUCUGUGAAAUCCUCCAGCUCAACUGGGGGCGUGCAGGCGAUACGGGCAGACUUGAGUACUACAGGGGAGACUGGAAUUCCUGGUGUAGCGGUGAAAUGCGCAGAUAUCAGGAGGAACACCGGUGGCGAAGGCGGGUCUCUGGGUAGUAACUGACGCUGAGGAGCGAAAGCAUGGGGAGCAAACAGGAUUAGAUACCCUGGUAGUCCAUGCCGUAAACGGUGGGCGCUAGGUGUGGGGUCCUUCCACGGAUUCCGUGCCGUAGCUAACGCAUUAAGCGCCCCGCCUGGGGAGUACGGCCGCAAGGCUAAACUCAAAGGAAUUGACGGGGGCCCGCACAAGCGGCGGAGCAUGUGGAUUAAUUCGAUGCAACGCGAAGAACCUUACCUAGGCUUGACAUAUACAGGACGACGGCAGAGAUGUCGUUUCCCUUGUGGCUUGUAUACAGGUGGUGCAUGGUUGUCGUCAGCUCGUGUCGUGAGAUGUUGGGUUAAGUCCCGCAACGAGCGCAACCCCUGUCUCAUGUUGCCAGCACGUUAUGGUGGGGACUCGUGAGAGACUGCCGGGGUCAACUCGGAGGAAGGUGGGGAUGACGUCAAAUCAUCAUGCCCCUUAUGUCUAGGGCUUCACACAUGCUACAAUGGCUAGUACAGAGGGCUGCGAGACCGCGAGGUGGAGCGAAUCCCUUAAAGCUAGUCUCAGUUCGGAUUGGGGUCUGCAACUCGACCCCAUGAAGUCGGAGUCGCUAGUAAUCGCAGAUCAGCAUUGCUGCGGUGAAUACGUUCCCGGGCCUUGUACACACCGCCCGUCACGUCAUGAAAGUCGGUAACACCCGAAGCCGGUGGCCUAACCCUUGUGGAGGGAGCCGUCGAAGGUGGGGCUGGA